UUUUGCUGGACGGUUAUACAUCCUUUAUUUUUUGUGGUCAAAGUCACUGGGAUUUUGCACACAAAAGACUGUAGAUGCUCAGUUUUUAAGUAUGUUCAAGCCUGCUGAGAAAUGCUUUGCGCAUCGGGGGAAACAAGGCUUGUGGGAAGAUGUACAAUACUGAAAGCUAACCAAAUUUUCAUUAUGUUUUUUAUCAAGACGUGUACUCGCUCCUGCUCUUCCUUUGUUCAUCAAAGGGUGACUAAGGAGAAAGUGUCCAACAACCAUCAUCGGUGAAGUUAUCGGUCCGCAUUGCAGAGGCUGCAGAUUUCUACACCAACGCCUACCGUCUGUUUGACUGCGGGAAUGCUGGAAGAGUUGAAAUGUUAUCUCAUCUUCCCAGAGACUGCAUUUAGAAUGAUUGAGUUCAUGGCUUUAGGCAUCUUCAGUUGGGAAUCUAUAGCUCUUGUGAUCCACAAAAUUUUAGAAUUACAGCUCUGGGAGCUCACAGUGUUUUGAUUCACAACAUUUACAAUAUUUCUGUUCCU